GUGCCAGCAGCCGCGGUAAUACGUAGGGUGCGAGCGUUAAUCGGAAUUACUGGGCGUAGAGCGAGCGCAGACGGUUACUUAAGCAGGAUGUGAAAUCCCCGGGCUCAACCUGGGAAUUGCGAUUGUGACUGCAUCGCUGGAGUGCGGCAGAGGGGGAUGGAAUUCCGCGUGUAGCAGUGAAAUGCGUAGAUAUGCGGAGGAGCACCGAUGGCGAAGGCAAUCCCCUGGGCCUGCACUGACGCUCAUGCACGAAAGCGUGGGGAGCAAACAGGAUUAGAUACCCUGGUAGUCCACGCCCUAA
rnacentral:rRNA from 1 species